AUUACAUUACAUUACAUUUCUCACAAUGAAUCGACAAACUAAACCCGAAAAUGUGGACCAGGUCAUAUCCCUGCGCGAUCCACCCCGGCAGUCCCGCAGCAGCAACCAGCAGUCUCGCAGCGGCGGCGGCAGCAGCAGCAGCAACAACAGAGCAGCGAAAACUGAAGACUUGGCCUAUACGACUAAGAUGACCACAAAACCCACAUGAUCACUAGGAAACAAAACAGGUACUUAAAGUAUAUAUAUUAUGGGAAGUUCUAUGGUGAUAUUGGUUUUGGUGGCUAAGAGUGGUAUAAAUUUGACCAACAAAUAAAAUAUUGACACAUGAUAAAAAAAUAAAUCUAAAAUUAUUUUGGUGUUAUUUUUUUAAAAUUAUUUUUUAUAAUUAUGAAAAUAAUUAUAAAAAAUUAUUUUGAUAAAAAUAAUCAUAAAAAAUUACAAAAGAGAGAAUCAUUUUUAUUUUAGAUUUAAUUUUUUUACCAUAUGUCAAUAUUUUACUUGUUAUUCAAAUUUAUACCAUUUUUAACCACCAAAAUUAAUGCCAUUAUAGAACUUCCCAUAUAUUAUUAUCUCAUUGUUAUUAAGCAUGAUGUGAAGAAGAUGAUAACUAAAUAUUAUUCAUCCUUUCAAUAUUUUUGUUGAAGGUACAUGCACAUGUGGAAGUGGGAAUAAGCUUGCAGCAGCAGCAGCAGCAGAGAUUGUUAUUGUUGAUCAAAGAUUAUUCAUUAUUUGGUUAAUUAAUUGUAAUUCGUUAAUUAUUAUUGUUCGUUUCGUUCUUAUUGGUCUAUCUGUUUAAUUUGUAGCUUUUGACCAUUAUUAUAUAGAAAGUGAUUUACGAAAAUAUUUGUUAACAAAAAAAA
rnacentral:lncRNA from 1 species